rnacentral:rRNA from 1 species
AGAACCUUACCAGCCCUUGACAUGUGGCUCGCCGGGAGCAGAGACGCUCCCUUCGGUUCGGCCGGAGUCAACACAGGUGCUGCAUGGCUGUCGUCAGCUCGUGUCGUGAGAUGUUGGGUUAAGUCCCGCAACGAGCGCAACCCUCGUCUCCAGUUGCCAUCAGGUUAUGCUGGGCACUUUGGAGAAACUGCCGGUGACAAGCCGGAGGAAGGUGGGGAUGACGUCAAGUCCUCAUGGCCCUUACGGGCUGGGCUACACACGUGCUACAAUGGCGGUGACAAUGGGAUGCGAUGGCGCGAGCCGGAGCCGAUCCUAAAAUACCGUCUCAGUUCGGAUUGCACUCUGCAACUCGAGUGCAUGAAGUUGGAAUCGCUAGUAAUCGAGGAUCAGCAUGCCUCGGUGAAUACGUUCCCGGGCCUUGUCACACCGA